AUUGAACGCUGGCGCCAGGCUUAACACAUGCAAGUCGAGCGGGGGAAGGUAGCUUGCUACCGGACGUAGCGGCGGACGGGUGCGUAAUGCUUAGGAAUCUGCCUAUUAGUGGGGGACAACAUCUCGAAAGGGAUGCUAAUACCGCAUACGUCCUACGGGAGAAAGCAGGAGAUCUUCGGACCUUGCGCUAAUAGAUGAGCAUAAGGCGGAUUAGCUAGUUGGUGGGCUAAAGGCCUACCAAGGCGACGAUCUGUAGCGGGUCUGAGAGGAUGAUCCUCCACACUGGGACUGAGACACGGACCAGACGCCUACGGGAGGGAGCAGUGGGGAAUAUUGGACAAUGGGGGGAAACUGUUCCAGCCAUGCCGCGUGUUUGAAGAAGGCCUUAUGGUUGUAAAGCACUUUAAGCGAGGAGGAGGCUACUUUAGUUAAUAUCUAGAGAUAGUUGACGUUACUCGCAGAAUAAACACCGGCUAACUCUGUGCCAGCCGCCGCAGUAA
rnacentral:rRNA from 1 species